CCGCCAUGUUGAUGGCGUGGGUUGUCGUUAGCUCGGAGCAGCGGCCGAAGCAGCCGGGUUAAAAUGUCUGGCAGGACCGGGCGGGAAUAACUAACGGUCGGGGGACGGGGUGGGGAUGGGGGUCAAGAGACUGCGCAGCACGUUCGGUUAGACACGGGGCGCGGCCGAGUCACCCUUUGCCCUUGAGCCCCUCGCGGGGGCCGACGGGAAGGGGGGGCAGUCCUGUGGGGGAGGAGAGCACCCCCAACCUUGUGGGGAUGGCAGCAGAGCAGGUGGCCCAAGCCCUGGGGCAGUCGCUGUGACGCUGGCGGGAUGCUCAACCGGGGCUGUGGCAUCCCCCGGAGUGCCUGGAGAGGGGUUCAGAGGCGCCAUGCCGGGGUCUCCUGAUGCUGAGGAAAUGAAAUACAGCUUUCUUGCUUUUCUUGUUAAGGUUGAAGAUGUCCAAGCCCAGAAUUCUGAACCACCUCUUCCUCAUUCAUUCAUAAAAAUGUUUGGGAGAGUUGCAUUUACAGUCUUAUUUUUUUAGCUGGAGUCAAAUAAAAUGCCACCACAUUUGUUACUGAAGAGAAUAACAUGCCAUUACACUAAAGAUUUUUCAGACGCAUGCAGAGAGCAACAGAAAAGUUGUGGACAAAGGACUGUUGACCACUUUUUACUUUCUCUCUUGCUGGGUUGUGAAAAUCUUGUUCUACAAUUUGUACCACCAUGUCUUGGAAAAAACUACGGACGUGUCCAGAUGAGCGUGGAUAUGCGGUAUGUGAUGCCACAGACCUCCAUACACUACACAUGCAGGCAUUCUCCAUGCUUCUUUGCAGCAACAGGGGCGCUUUUGACCUCAGGAGACCUGGGGUCAAAAAAAGCCUACAUCAAAAUAAAGCAGGAUGGCACAUGUGGCGGCAGUACAUGCUGCCCAAAACCAACGUCUGGCUGGCCAGACCUGCACUCCAGCUGGUGGCCAGGCUUCCUGCUUCAGGAGCACCACAGCUGCAGCUCCCAGAGGCCCUCAGGUCCCCAGGUAAAGCUGCUGGGGCCAGCAAAGUUGGUGGCCCCAGCCUCCCCUACCCCACCUAGGGUAACCUGUCAUGUGCCAGAGCUCACAUGUCAUGGGCAUUCCCAGGGGCCAAGUACCAACAGCACAAGGUGUACCGCUGCUGCUUGUCCCCCAGGAAAUGCAUGUUCCCACUUGUCUGGAUGUAUCCUAUAUGUCACCCUAGGGUCUAAAGGCUAUGGGACUGUAGUUCCUACUAGUGUGUGGUUCUUAAGAGAAUGACAUGCUAGCAAAUUAUAAGCAGGGAUCUGGAUUUUCCAUUCACCAUGGAAAAAUGUGGUGAAGCAUGGAUUUUCUCUUUUAAAGAAGAAAAACGCAGGAAACAGUGGGUUUCCCCCUGCAGGCUGGCAGAAUCUCAGCCUGCAAAGGACAAGCUGGAGAAGGGCGAUCAGGCAGGGGUGCCACGUGCAUGUGACAUGCACGUGGCAGACAGGCAGAAGAAGAGCACCUCCCCACAGGUAAGUCUGUUGGGGCGGGGGCAGGUAAUUGUUUCCACCACAGUGAGGGAGGGAGGGAGGGAGU
ensembl:lncRNA